GUCCUUGGUGCUUUUUGAGUUUGAUUAUUUCCUUGCAGACAUUCCAUUACAAACUAGGUGAUGUCUCGAUAAAUGCUAGAUGGGAAUGGA